rnacentral:rRNA from 1 species
UACGUAGGGGGCAAGCGUUGUCCGGAAUUACUGGGCGUAAAGCGUGCGCAGGCGGUUCGUUAAGUCAGAUGUGAAAGCCCCGGGCUCAACCUGGGAACUGCAUUUGAAACUGGCGGGCUUGAGUGUGGCAGAGGGGGGUGGAAUUCCGCGUGUAGCGGUGAAAUGCGCAGAUAUCAGGAGGAACACCGAUGGCGAAGGCAGGUCUCUGGGCCACUACUGACGCUGAGAAGCGAAAGCAUGGGGAGCGAACAGG